CCCUUUGGGUGUGACUGCGUACCUUUUGUAUAAUGGGUCAGCGACUUAUAUUCUGUAGCAAGGUUAACCGAAUAGGGGAGCCGGAGGGAAACCGAGUCUUAACCGGGCGUUAAGUUGCAGGGUAUAGACCCGAAACCCGGUGAUCUAGCCAUGGGCAGGUUGAAGGUUGGGUAACACUAACUGGAGGACCGAACCGACUAAUGUUGAAAAAUUAGCGGAUGACCUGUGGCUGGGGGUGAAAGGCCAAUCAAACCGGGAGAUAGCUGGUUCUCCCCGAAAGCUAUUUAGGUAGCGCCUCGUGAAUUCAUCUCCGGGGGUAGAGCACUGUUUCGGCUAGGGGGCCAUCCCGGCUUACCAACCCGAUGCAAACUGCGAAUACCGGAGAAUGUUAUCACGGGAGACACACGGCGGGUGCUAACGUCCGUCGUGAAGAGGGAAACAACCCAGACCGCCAGCUAAGGUCCCAAAGUCAUGGUUAAGUGGGAAACGAUGUGGGAAGGCCCAGACAGCCAGGAUGUUGGCUUAGAAGCAGCCAUCAUUUAAAGAAAGCGUAAUAGCUCACUGGUCGAGUCGGCCUGCGCGGAAGAUGUAACGGGGCUAAACCAUGCACCGAAGCUGCGGCAGCGACACUGUGUGUUGUUGGGUAGGGGAGCGUUCUGUAAGCCUGUGAAGGUGUGUCGUGAG
rnacentral:rRNA from 1 species